ensembl:lncRNA
GGGCAAUUCAGUUUCUUGUUUCAAAGGAUUCUUGAUAAUUUGGGGCUUUCUCAGUCUUUAAAAACAUAAGGAGAAUAAUAUAAAAAUUAAACCUUAGCAAAACAUUGAUAUUAUCAGUCUUCAUCACUUCAUAACUACUAAGUUAAUACCUUUACUAUUUAGCUUAAUUAAUGUAUUAUGUGGUACAGCAUGUUAUUGUCUCCACAUGUGUGAGGAAUCUUUCCAUUCCCUUGUGAAUGCAUUUAAGAAACCACAUGAAUGUCACCUGCAGUUUCAAGUAUGUGUUCAAAAGGGAGGGAGGAAGUUAUCCUACAUAGUUGAUCUUCUCCCAGAAAUGUUGUAUGGUCUUCAGUAACCCCUUGCUGAAAUUCCUCCAUAAGGUAGCACCUUGCUCUCUUACUGUUUCUGCAUCUUUGAAUCCUUUGUCUAAGAGAUAUAGCUGUGUAAAGAACUAACAGCAAUGCAAUAAGUAAAUGCACAUAGUGACUGCUCUGAUCAGGUUGAACAACAAACUGGUGCUACAUUAAAAUUUAUAAAGACUAUGAGGAAAUUGAUAGCUGAGGAAGACAAACAUCAGGAAUCAAGUGUGAAAAAACUGCAUGGUGUUUCACUAACAAAGUAUUCUGAACAUUUCAUUUUCAAGAUGGGAAAUUUCAAUUUAGUCUACGGCUUUGUGUCUUACUUUGGGCCAGUUCCUCCCUAAAAGGUUGAUACGGGCAUAUUUUCCUCUCUUGAUUAUUUUCUUGACUUCUUCUUGAGAUCAAGAACCAGCUUGUUAUCUUGAUGCCAAACAGGAGAUUAUCCUAUUGUGGGUCCUACCAUUAAUACCAUUGCCACCAAUAACCAGUGGUAACAAAAGUCCAUGUAUGCCUUUUCCUUGCACAAACACACUUAAGGAAUGAUAUGGAAGCUUCCAGGAAUAACAGAAAAUGCCUUUUCUUGGAGAUAAUUCCAUAAGGAAGUGAUAAAAAAGACAACUCUAGUUUGAUCAAGUCAUCCUCUCCUCACAUUUAUCUUUAAAUCUGAACUUACAUAUAUUCUGAAAACCUAAGCCUGUUGCAGUGACCUAAGCAUGUACUUUUGUAGAAAGUUUUUUUCUGUGUUCCAAAUUUCCCUACAGAAGAGGAACAAAAUAUGUUUGAGAACUAGAAUAGAGAUCAUUCAAGGGAAGAUCAAAUGAUUGCCUUUGAUUUAAAAAUAUAAGAAGGUCCUUCUCCUAGACAUGGAGUUGAUGCUAUUCUCCAAUUCCUGAAGCAAUACUCUAAAUGAAUGGAUUUUAAUUUAUUUUUGUUCAUUGAAUAGCCCUGACUGAAUAACAGCUCCAAGAAUUGAGAAGCUAUACUUUGAGCUGGCUCUAGAAAUGGAUCUGUGGACUUGACAACCUUUGUCCUUUGGAUUUAUAUCAUGUGUCCAACUCAGAAUGCAAAGAACACUUGGGAUUCUAAAGCUCAAGAGAAAAGCCCUUUUUUAGCUUGAAAGUUACAUAUCCCUGGAAGAUAAUUAUUAUAUUUUUCUCCUCUAUCACUCUUCCUUUAUUUCCCAUAUUUAUGGGUUCUCCAAUUUGGCUAGCUCUUGUUCCUGUGUCAUAAUGUUUACAGUUUCUUUUGCAAUCUCAUUAGAGGGGCUUUCCAGUGUGAAGGAUAUAAGUUCUGGAAAACAGGGCACAGGCAGGCCAUACAUUUUUUUUCAAACAAACAAAGGUG